ACGAUGUCGACUUGGAGGUUGUGCCCUUGAGGCGUGGCUUCCGGAGCUAACGCGUUAAGUCGACCGCCUGGGGAGUACGGCCGCAAGGUUAAAACUCAAAUGAAAUUGACGGGGGCCCGCACAAGCGGUGGAGCAUGUGGUUUAAUUCGAUGCAACGCGAAGAACCUUACCUGGUCUUGACAUCCACAGAACUUUCCAGAGAUGGAUUGGUGCUUCGGGAACUGUGAAACAGGUGCUGCAUGGCUGUCGUCAGCUCGUGUUGUGAAAUGUUGGGUUAAGUCCCGCAACGAGCGCAACCCUUAUCCUUUGUUGCCAGCGGUCCGGCCGGGAACUCAAAGGAGACUGCCAGUGAUAAACUGGAGGAAGGUGGGGAUGACGUCAAGUCAUCAUGGCCCUUACGACCAGGGCUACACACGUGCUACAAUGGCGCAUACAAAGAGAAGCGACCUCGCGAGUGCAAGCGGACCUCAUAAAGUGCGUCGUAG
rnacentral:rRNA from 1 species